rnacentral:rRNA from 1 species
ACUCAAAGGAAUAGACGGGGGCCCGCACAAGCAGCGGAGCGUGUGGUUUAAUUCGAUGCGAAACGAAGAACCUUACCUGGGCUCGACAUGCAAGUAGUACUGAACCGAAAGGCGAGGGACCCGCAAGGGAGCUUGCAAAGGUGCUGCAUGGUUGUCGUCAGCUCGUGCCGUGAGGUGUUGGGUUAAGUCCCGCAACGAGCGCAACCCUCGUCGCUAGUUGUUUUUUCUAGCGAGACUGCCCCUAAAAGGGAGGAAGGUGGGGAUGACGUCAAAUCAUCAUGGCUCUUACGUCCAGGGCUACACACACGCUACAAUGGUCAGCACAGACGGUUGCUAAGCCGUAAGGCGGAGCCAAUCCGAAAAAGUUGACCUCAGUUGGAAUUGCAGGCUGAAACCCGCCUGCAUGAACGUGGAGUUGCUAGUAACCGCAGGUCAGCAUACUGCGGUGAAUACGUUCCCGGGCCUUGUACACACCGCCCGU